rnacentral:rRNA from 1 species
AUUGAACGCUGGCGGCAGGCUUAACACAUGCAAGUCGAACGAUGACUAACUAGCUUGCUAGUUAUGAUUAGUGGCGGACGGGUGAGUAACAUUUAGGAAUCUGCCUAGUAGUGGGGGAUAGCUCGGGGAAACUCGAAUUAAUACCGCAUACGACCUACGGGUGAAAGGGGGCGCAAGCUCUUGCUAUUAGAUGAGCCUAAAUCAGAUUAGCUAGUUGGUGGGGUAAAGGCCUACCAAGGCGACGAUCUGUAACUGGUCUGAGAGGAUGAUCAGUCACACCGGAACUGAGACACGGUCCGGACUCCUACGGGAGGCAGCAGUGGGGAAUAUUGGACAAUGGGGGCAACCCUGAUCCAGCCAUGCCGCGUGUGUGAAGAAGGCCUUUUGGUUGUAAAGCACUUUAAGCAGGGAGGAGAGGCUAAUGGUUAAUACCCAUUAGAUUAGACGUUACCUGCAGAAUAAGCACCGGCUAACUCUGUGCCAGCAGCCGCGGUAAUACAGAGGGUGCGAGCGUUAAUCGGAAUUACUGGGCGUAAAGCGAGUGUAGGUGGCUCAUUAAGUCACAUGUGAAAUCCCCGGGCUUAACCUGGGAACUGCAUGUGAUACUGGUGGUGCUAGAAUAUGUGAGAGGGAAGUAGAAUUCCAGGUGUAGCGGUGAAAUGCGUAGAGAUCUGGAGGAAUACCGAUGGCGAAGGCAGCUUCCUGGCAUAAUAUUGACACUGAGAUUCGAAAGCGUGGGUAGCAAACAGGAUUAGAUACCCUGGUAGUCCACGCCGUAAACGAUGUCUACUAGCCGUUGGGGUCCUUGAGACUUUGGUGGCGCAGUUAACGCGAUAAGUAGACCGCCUGGGGAGUACGGCCGCAAGGUUAAAACUCAAAUGAAUUGACGGGGGCCCGCACAAGCGGUGGAGCAUGUGGUUUAAUUCGAUGCAACGCGAAGAACCUUACCUGGUCUUGACAUAGUGAGAAUCCUGCAGAGAUGCGGGGGUGCCUUCGGGAAUUCACAUACAGGUGCUGCAUGGCUGUCGUCAGCUCGUGUCGUGAGAUGUUGGGUUAAGUCCCGCAACGAGCGCAACCCUUUUCCUUAUUUGCCAGCGGGUUAAGCCGGGAACUUUAAGGAUACUGCCAGUGACAAACUGGAGGAAGGCGGGGACGACGUCAAGUCAUCAUGGCCCUUACGACCAGGGCUACACACGUGCUACAAUGGUAGGUACAGAGGGUUGCUACACAGCGAUGUGAUGCUAAUCUCAAAAAGCCUAUCGUAGUCCGGAUUGGAGUCUGCAACUCGACUCCAUGAAGUCGGAAUCGCUAGUAAUCGCAGAUCAGAAUGCUGCGGUGAAUACGUUCCCGGGCCU